rnacentral:rRNA from 1 species
AUACGGAGGGCGCAAGCGUUGUUCGGAAUUACUGGGCGUAAAGCGCGUGUAGGCGGUUAGGGAAGUCGGAUGUGAAAGCCCCGGGCUCAACCCGGGAAUUGCAUCCGAAACUCCUUGACUAGAGUCCCGGAGAGGAAGGCAGAAUUCCCAGUGUAGGGGUGAAAUCCGUAGAUAUUGGGGGGAAUACCAGUGGCGAAGGCGGCCUUCUGGACGGUGACUGACGCUGAGACGCGAAAGCGUGGGGAGCAAACAGGAUUAGAAACCCCAGUAGUCC